CGGCGAGUGAAGCGGCAACAGCUCAAAUUUGAAAUCUGGAGCCUUUGGCUUCCGAGUUGUAAUUUGCAGAGGGAGCCUCGGAGGGCGAGACGGUCCAAGUGCCUUGGAACAGGAUACCGCAGAGGGUGAGAGUCCCGUAUCCGGCCGAUCUUGCGCUCCGUGUGAGGCCCCUUCGACGAGUCGAGUUGUUUGGGAAUGCAGCUCCAAGCGGGUGGUAAAUUCCAUCUAAAGCUAAAUACUGGCCAGAGACCGAUAGCGAACAAGUAGAGUGAUCGAAAGAUGAAAAGCACUUUGAAAAGAGAGUCAAACAGUACGUGAAAUUGUUGAAAGGGAAGCGCAUGGGGGCAGACUUGGACGCGGGGUUCAGCGUUUCUAUUGGAGCGUGUACUUCCCCGCGUGCAGGCCAGCAUCGGUUCCGGGGGCCGGACAAAGACGUUGGGAAUGUGGCUCCCCUCGGGGAGUGUUAUAGCCCGGCGUGCAAUGCGGCC
rnacentral:rRNA from 2 species